GACGAACGCUGGCGGCGUGCUUAACACAUGCAAGUCGAACGAUGACGACCGAGCUUGCUCGGUCUGAUUAGUGGCGAACGGGUGAGUAACACGUGAGCAACCUGCCCUUCACUCUGGGAUAACCUCGGGAAAUCGGGGCUAAUACCGGAUAUGAGCUCCUGUCGCAUGGCGGGUGUUGGAAAGUUUUUCGGUGAAGGAUGGGCUCGCGGCCUAUCAGUUUGUUGGUGAGGUAGUGGCUCACCAAGGCGAUGACGGGUAGCCAGCCUGAGAGGGCGACCGGCCACACUGGGACUGAGACACGGCCCAGACUCCUACGGGAGGCAGCAGUGGGGAAUAUUGCACAAUGGGCGAAAGCCUGAUGCAGCGACGCCGCGUGAGGGAUGACGGCCUUCGGGUUGUAAACCUCUUUCAGCAGGGAAGAAGCGAAAGUGACGGUACCUGCAGAAGAAGCGCCGGCUAACUACGUG
rnacentral:rRNA from 1 species